GUGAUGUGCUUUCCUACAUGUGAAAAACGUCCAAUCAAGAAGCAUUCAAAAGAGAGUUUCAAACAAUGAGUUAUAUAGACAAUUCUAUAGAAGAAAAAAGAACAUAUACACUUGAUUCAUAUAGACAAUUCUAUAUAUAUAUAAAAAAAACAUAUAGACAAUUCUUUAGCCACCACAGUGUGGAGGGUUAGGCAGACCCUAACUAUUUGAAGAUUAUGACCGUGUGGUAAGUAAUUUUUAUUUUUUAUUAGAUAUUUUGAGUUUGAAUUAUUUUAAAUAUUAGUGAGCAUGUUAUUCUUAACGUGAGAUUUUCAGACAUUAAGUUUUAAUAUAAAUAAUUGAGCUUCAAUCGAGAGAAAAAAAGAGAGUUACAAGCUUUGAUUAAUUCAAUGGCCUCGAUGGACACUAUGCACGUUGAGAAGGACCUCAUGUGAUCGAUAUAUACACCAAUUGAGGCUUACUUAGUGAAGGCUUCAUUUGGCAUGUGUGGGGGUCUAUAAUAUGGGUGGGUACUCAUUCCAUAAUUUUCCUGUUGGACAAUCAAAUGACAAUUUAUAGUAUUAAUUAAACCCUUUUUGUAUGCUCAUGAAUCUGCAACAGUAAAAAAAAGAUUUGUUCAUUCUUGUUCUUGAAAGAGAAAAUUAAAUUAGAUAAUUAUUACAAGUUUUUGGCUAAAAUCAUCUCUAAAUUUUGACCUAAAUUUAAAGUAUAUCUUUGUAUUAUGAAAGUGAACAAAAAACAUCCUUGCACUGUUCAAAAAGUUGCAAGAUUCAUUCUUCUGUUUAUUUUUUUAA